GUUCUGCAGGACAUCUUGCAUCAUAUACAUUUUCUCAUGCCAAUACAAGACGCUGCUCGUGCCGCCUGCGUGUCCCGUGGAUUUCUGCACUCCUGGAGACACUAUUCCAACCUCAUACUCAGUGACCGUACGCUUGGUUUGCUUGGCAGAACAUUUGAGGAAACGAAAACCCAUCUCACUUAUAAAAAUGGGGUGAAGGUGAAGACACUUAAACUUAGUCUUGGCCCCUGCAAAGAUAUCAAAGCCUCCUACCUCGACAGGUGGCUCCGGAUCAUUAAACCUGGGAUUCAAGAAUUUAGCUUGGUGUUGUCUUCGGUCAUGAAUAAAAGCUACAGUUUCCCGUGUUCGGUUUUAUCGAACGAGGCCGCUGCAAGUUCAAUUCAGUCUCUUAGCCUCCUUGGUUGCGCUUUUCAUCCCACGUCAAUACUUGGGUGCUUGAGAAGAUUGAAAUGUUUAAGUCUGUGUUAUGUCCACGUUACUGAGGAUGGAUUAGCGCACUUGCUCUCUAAAUCUUCCGUCCUGGAGUGGCUAGAGAUUGAAGCAUGUAGUGGGAUAGUUUGCUUGAAAAUACCUUGUACGCUGCAGCAGCUCAAAUUCCUCAGUGAUCAUUAUGGCAGGACACCGGCCAUCUAUGUCCAAAAUUCUUCGCAUCUUAAGACUGUAGAUAUUUCACCUGUCAGCCUGUCUGGUAUUCUCUCUUAUGCUCGCUUUAGCCUUCCGUCUAUCGCGCAAAAUGUUGAGAGCCUCACCCUGCACGGUCGUAGUGAGAAUGCCAACAUUCCGAUGCUGCCGUCCAAGCUCCCCCACGUCAAGAACUUGGAAAUUUCACUCCUUAAACCCUUCUUUUCCCCAAACUAUGAUGUCCUCUCUCUGGUUUCUUUUCUUGAUGCUUCUCCUGCCUUGGAAUCUUUCAUCCUACGUGUAAGUCACUAUGUACAUCCCUCACAGCUAUCUAUGCUACUAUUAAUGCAGGUAGAGCAGCACGCCAUAAUCCAUGAUCCUGUUGUUGGAGACGACACUGAAUACCGGAGGCAGAAUCUGGAGUGCCGGAAUAACAGCCUGAGGAAGGUAUUGAUCACAGGCUUCUGUUCUGCCAAGAGCAUGGUUGGGCUCACAGUUCACAUCCUCGAGAGAACACAUUCACUAGAGCGCUUCACGCUGGACACAACCUAUGGCUACGAUAGGAGGACUUGUAACAUUGGCAAAUUCCCAACCGCGAGAAUGAUUUGCCAAUGCUGGUCGUUGAGCAAGAGAGGUCUCGAGGAAGCUCAUAGAGCCGUGGAGACAGCGGAUAGAUACAUCAAGGGAAGAGUUCCCUCGUCCGUUCAAUUCGAGGUUCUGGGCCCUGUAGUCGAUGUCAUAUUGGGAAGUAGGUAG
rnacentral:rRNA from 1 species